UCCGUGUUAACCACGGCAGUCUCUCUAGAGUGCCCAACUUAAUGCUGGCAACUAAAGGCAAGGGUUGCGCUCGUUGCGGGACUUAACCCAACAUGUCACCACACGAGCUGACGACAGCCAUGCAGCACCUGUCUCUCUGUCGUAUUGCUACGAAAGCGACGUUUCCGCCGAUGUCAGAGGAUGUCAAACCCUGGUAAGGUUUUGCGCGUUGCUUCGAAUUAAACCACAUGAUCCACCGCUUGUGCGGGCCCCCGUCAAUUCCUUUGAGUUUUAGUCUUGCGACCGUACUUCCCAGGCGGGGUACUUAUCGCGUUAGCUCCGGCUCCGAAGGGGUCAAUUCCCCCGAAGCCUAGUACCCAUCGUUUACAGCGUGGACUAC
rnacentral:misc_RNA from 1 species